UACAGAGGUCCCAAGCGUUGUUCGGAUUCAUUGGGCGUAGAGGGUGCGUAGGCGGCGCGGUAAGUCGGAUGUGAAAUCUCGGAGCUUAACUUCGAAACUGCAUUCGAUACUGCCGUGCUUGAGGACUGGAGAGGAGACUGGAAUUUACGGUGUAGCGGUGAAAUGCGUAGAUAUCGUAAGGAAGACCAGUGGCGAAGGCGGGUCUCUGGACAGUUCCUGACGCUGAGGCACGAAGGUCAGGGGAGCAAACGGG
rnacentral:rRNA from 1 species